CCUACGGGAGGCAGCAGUGGGGAAUAUUGCACAAUGGGGGAAACCCUGAUGCAGCGACGCCGCGUGAGCGAUGACGUAUUUCGGUAUGUAAAGCUCUAUCAGCAGGGAAGAAAAUGACGGUACCUGACUAAGAAGCCCCGGCUAACUACGUGCCAGCAGCCGCGGUACUACGUAGGGGGCAAGCGUUAUCCGGAUUUACUGGGUGUAAUGGGAGUGUAGACGGCUGUGCAAGCCAGGUGUGAAAGCCCGGGGCUCAACCCCGGGACUGCAUUUGGAACUGGGUGGCUGGAGUGUCGGAGAGGCAGGCGGAAUGCGUAGUGUAGCGGUGAAAUGCGUAGAUAUUAGGAGGAACACCAGUGGCGAAGGCGGCCUGCUGGACGAUGACUGACGUUGAGGCUCGAAAGCGUGGGGAGCAAACAGGAUUAGAUACCCGAGUAGUC
rnacentral:rRNA from 1 species